GAUGAACGCUGGCGGCGUGCCUAAUACAUGCCAGUCGAACGAAACUUCUUUAUCACCGAGUGCUUGCACUCACCGAUAAAGAGUUGAGUGGCGAACGGGUGAGUAACACGUGGGCAACCUGCCCAAAAGAGGGGGAUAACACUUGGAAACAGGUGCUAAUACCGCAUAACCAUAGUUACCGCAUGGUAACUAUGUAAAAGGUGGCUAUACUACCGCUUUUGGAUGGGCCCGCGGCGCAUUAGCUAGUUGGUAGGGUAAAGGCUUACCAAGGCAAUGAUGCGUAGCCGAAUUGAGAGGUUGAUCGGCCACAUUGGGACUGAGACACGGCCCAAACGCCUACGGGAGGCAGCAGUAGGGAAUCUUCCACAAUGGGCGAAAGCCUGAUGGAGCAACGCCGCGUGGGUGAAGAAGGUCUUCGGAUCGUAAAACCCUGUUGUUAGAGAAGAAAGUGCGUGAGAGUAACUGUUCACGUUUCGACGGUAUCUAACCAGAAAGCCACGGCUAACUACGUG
rnacentral:rRNA from 1 species